rnacentral:rRNA from 1 species
CGGGGUGCAGCAGGCGCGAAAACUUUACAAUGCGGGAAACCGUGAUAAGGGGACACCGAGUGCCAGCAUCAUAUGCUGGCCGUCCAGGUGUGUAAAAUACACCUGUUAGCAAGGGCCGGGCAAGACCGGUGCCAGCCGCCGCGGUAACACCGGCGGCCCGAGUGGUGAUCGUGAUUAUUGGGUCUAAAGGGUCCGUAGCCGGUUUGGUCAGUCCUCCGGGAAAUUUGACGGCUCAACCGUUAGGCUUUCGGGGGGUACUGCCAGGCUUGGAACCGGGAGAGGUAAGAGGUACUACAGGGGUAGGAGUGAAAUCUUGUAAUCCCUGUGAGACCACCUGUGGCGAAGGCGUCUUACCAGAACGGGUUCGACGGUGAGGGACGAAAGCUGGGGGCACGAACCGGAUUAGAUACCCGGGUAGUCCCAGCCGUAAACGAUGCUCGCUAGGUGUCAGGCAUGGCGCGACCGUGUCUGGUGCCGCAGGGAAGCCGUGAAGCGAGCCACCUGGGAAGUACGGC